rnacentral:miRNA from 1 species
CGUUUACUCCUAGACCGUGAAU